UUCCUAAAGAAUUAAUUUUAGGUAUAUUCUGCCCAAUGAAGCUUAAAUGGCUGCGUUUGCACUAAGGUAGCAUAAUAAAUUGUUCCUUAAUUAGGAGCUGGAAUGAAUGAAUGAAUGGGGGGAAUUUUUCUUGGAAUUGAUUAAUAGAAUUUAAAUUUUUAGUAAAAAUGCUAAAAUAUAGAUUAGGGACAAGAAGACCCUAUGAAGCUUUAUAAUUUUGAAUUGAUUAAAUUAUUGUGUUGGGGCAACACUCUAAGAUCUAAGUUUAGAGGGUUAAUGGAGAUUAAUUUAUAUUUUUAUGAGCCAUAAGUUAUGAGCAUCUGAUUAAGUUACUCUAGGGAUAACAGCAUUAUUUAAAUUGGAAAGUUCAAAUUGAAAAUUUAGUUUAUGACCUCGAUGUUGAAUUAAUAUAACUUUUAGGUGAAGGAAUUUAGAAAGUUAGUCUGUUCGACUAUUAAAUUAUUACA
rnacentral:rRNA from 1 species